GAUGCAGUGAUGAGUUUUAACAUGUAACAUAGAAUACUUAGAGUGUUUUCCCUUCUAUGAAGUAUUCUUGUUAAGCUUGUCUUUUGAGCAUG